rfam:Prunus persica cultivar Lovell chromosome G2, whole genome shotgun sequence.
UUUGCUUGAAUUGACGCCUUCUGCACAAUAUAUUGGCUCAAUCUUCAUUACUCCAGCUGUUGGUGGUUGGGGAUGUUCAAGUUUCUGAAGCAUAGAUUAAAAAUCACACCAGUAUUAAACAGCUCCGUGCUUUUUCUUUUUGGCUUUGCACUGUGCUACCUGUCUCCUGGUACAUUG